rnacentral:rRNA from 1 species
GACGAACGCUGGCGGCGUGCUUAGCACAUGCAAGUCGAACGAUGAAGCGGUGCUUGCACCGUGGAUUAGUGGCGAACGGGUGAGUAAUACGUGAGUGACCUACCUUUGACUCUGGGAUAAGCCUGGGAAACUGGGUCUAAUACCGGAUACGACCAAUCUCUGCAUGGGGUGUUGGUGGAAAGCGUUAUGGAGUGGUUUUAGAUGGGCUCACGGCCUAUCAGCUUGUUGGUGAGGUAAUGGCUUACCAAGGCGACGACGGGUAGCCGGCCUGAGAGGGUGACCGGCCACACUGGGACUGAGACACGGCCCAGACUCCUACGGGAGGCAGCAGUGGGGAAUAUUGCACAAUGGGCGCAAGCCUGAUGCAGCGACGCCGCGUGAGGGAUGACGGCCUUCGGGUUGUAAACCUCUGUUAGCAUCCAAGAAGCGAAAGUGACGGUAGGUGCAUAGAAAGCGCCGGCUAACUACGUGCCAGCAGCCGCGGUAAUACGUAUGGCGCGAGCGUUGUCCGGAAUUAUUGGGCGUAAGAGCUUGUAGGCGGUUGGUCGCGUCUGCUGUGAAAGGCCGGGGCUUAACUCCGGUUUUGCAGUGGGUACGGGCUAACUAGAGUGCAGUAGGGGAGACUGGAAUUCCUGGUGUAGCGGUGGAAUGCACAGAUAUCAGGAGGAACACCGAUGGCGAAGGCAGGUCUCUGGGCUGUAACUGACGCUGAGAAGCGAAAGCAUGGGGAGCGAACAGGAUUAGAUACCCUGGUAGUCCAUGCCGUAAACGUUGGGCACUAGGUGUGGGGGACAUUCCACGUUUUCCGCGCCGUAGCUAACGCAUUAAGUGCCCCGCCUGGGGAGUACGGCCGCAAGGCUAAAACUCAAAGGAAUUGACGGGGGCCCGCACAAGCGGCGGAGCAUGCGGAUUAAUUCGAUGCAACGCGAAGAACCUUACCAAGGCUUGACAUGCAUUAGAUCGCGUCAGAGAUGGCGUUUCCCUUCGGGGCUGGUGUACAGGUGGUGCAUGGUUGUCGUCAGCUCGUGUCGUGAGAUGUUGGGUUAAGUCCCGCAACGAGCGCAACCCUCGUUCUAUGUUGCCAGCGGUUCGGCCGGGGACUCAUAGGAGACUGCCGGGGUUAACUCGGAGGAAGGUGGGGAUGACGUCAAAUCAUCAUGCCCCUUAUGUCUUGGGCUUCACGCAUGCUACAAUGGCCGGUACAGAGGGUUGCGAUACUGUGAGGUGGAGCUAAUCCCUUAAAGCCGGUCUCAGUUCGGAUUGGGGUCUGCAACUCGACCCCAUGAAGUCGGAGUCGCUAGUAAUCGCAGAUCAGCAACGCUGCGGUGAAUACGUUCCCGGGCCU